UAUUAAAUGGGCCUAAAGUCAGAGUAGCUGGUGGCGGCAUAAGGGCCCGGGCAGCCAGGGGGCAUGGGGGAUGACAGGCCCAUUGUCAUGCCACAUUCCAGGCUUCCCUAUCCAGACCGGAAGGCAGGGCUCACCCCUCAGCCAACUCGGCAUCGGGCAAAGUCCUGCAAAGCGGCUGCGCAGAGCGGAGGCCGUGGGAACUCUGGGGAACGUGAGGCGCACAGAAGAUCCACACCAGAGGUCAGCCAGAACGUGGCAGGUCCCAAAGACGAACAGAGUGCGGGAAAAGAGGCUCCCAUGUCAACCGCCAGCACCGAGCUCCCAUGGCGGCUGGACCAGUGACCCCACAUGCGUUUGUCCUUUUUCUGUGGCUCAGGAGCCCAGAGCCGCUGACGUCGCAGGAGGCCAGCCCUGCGGUGUGGGGCGGGGCUGCCCCCACUCAGAGCUUGACGGCAGGCUCCCCCGGGGCUGCCCACGAGGGAGCCCCUAGACAAGCUGUGGCCUUCUCGGAACCGGCCUGGAAGGUGCUGCUCUCGGCUGCUGCUCCAUCGAGUCCACCUGGAGGCGAGUCUGGGCGGGGAGGGGUGGCCCAGGGGACAAGUACCUCACAGUGGGACACUCGUGCAUCUCCGAGCUGGCCAGCACAGGUGCUUCGACUUAGAAUAGCCACCGGUCAGGAGCACUGCCCGCUGUUCUGCUUGGUUUUGCUUUUUCCCAGAAGCCGUUCAUCCCAUUUAUGGGUUUGCUCGUGUGUGUUUACCGAUGGACUGGUGAUUGGUUGGUGAAGAAUAUAACGUGGGAGGAGUUUUGAAAAGAUACACAUUUCACUUAAUGGAUGCAAAUGCGUGGGGGCACAUGACCCUCAUGGGGACAGGCCUUCUCUCCAGAGAGCCCAGGAACCAACAUGCACACUGAGGUCCCUGCUACCUGCGGUCUGACGACGUCUUGUUCCACGGAAAUGUUGCCACGUGCUGUCCUUCUCCGGUCUUUUCAAGCAGUAAACUUAAUUUUCAUAAGAACAGCUCCAUGUUUGUGGUCAUUUCGUCUGUUUAUCACUUAAAUCACUCUGCAGAACCUCGAGUCUCCAAGGCAAGUCCGUGUCUGCGUUGAUUUUGUGUCAGCUUGGCUGGGCCACGAGGGCCCCCAGAGAUGGGUCAAACGUUAUUCCAGGUGUUUCUGGGAGAGUGAUUUUGGGUGAGAUUAACGUGUAAAUUGGUGGACAGAGUAAAGCAGAUGGUCGUUUCCAGGGAAGGUGGGCCUCAUCUGAUCCACUGAGAGCCCCGAUAGAACAAAAAGACCCACGUUCCCCCGCUAGGAGGCGAUCUCUCCUGCCUGACGGCCUUCAGACUGGGAGGGUGGCCUUCUGCCUUGCACUCGGCCUGGAGCUAAAACUGCGGCUUUCGGGGUCUCUACCUUGCCAUGUGCAGACCUCAGGACUUCUCAGCCUCCGCAGUCCGGUAACAGGCAUUCACACUGUGUCCUUGUAGCCCGUGGCUCCUGGGGGUGCUGUGUGCCCGGUUCCUGCAGCAGGUGCCAGGCCUGCUGGUGGCCACAGCAUGUGGUUCCUGUGACCACCCUGCAGUCAAGAUGCGGGCUGUUCGCCCCACAGAGACCCGUCUCGCUGCCCCUCCUCGGCACCCCCACCGUCCCUAACCCCUGGCAACCACUCUUGUCAGUUCUCCACCUCCAUAACGCUGUCAUUUCAAGAAUAUUAGGUAAGUGGGACCACAGCAUACUGGGCUGGAUUUUUGAGAUUGGAUUUUCUUCACCUAGCAAAUGACCAUGCGAUCCAUCCAAGUUGUAUUCAACUUACACAUAGGCGAUUCCAAAGCAUCUCUUAACUUUUCCAACAUGGUACACAAGUUCAGUUGGGUUUCACCUUGUAACACCAAGUCUCAGGAGCUUCCUCUUGUGAAUAAUGGUUCCGCGGCAAAGCUGACCCUCUCAUUGGGUGAGUCCUCUUCUGCAUUACAAACGUAGGAUGUAUCCUGAUUCCAUUUCAAUGCCACAAACAUUCUUGCACAGCUUGUUGACUCUUACAACCUUCCCCAUACUGAACUUAAAAUCUCCGCAGGGUAGAAAGGAGACCAUGCAGGGACAUAGCCAGCCCAUCAGGCCAAGGCAGCGCCCCUGACCCCGAGAUUUCUGCGGGAUGCUGGCGGGAUCCUCUCCCUGACCAUGGUGGGUUUCUAGGUACCAGCCCAUGUCCCACAUUGUGUUGCUCCCUAUGGCCUGCAGAGAGUGCCCCCCACAUGAGUGCUGAAUGGGAUUUUGUAUUUUUGUGGCCCUUAAAGAUAGUCAAGUAAAUGUAUUUUUUGUUUUAGUCUAGAGAAUUUUAACUUAAUGGGCUCCUUAAGAGAUGUCCUUAUGUUAUGUACUUAACCUAAUAAAAUCUUGCAUUCUUUCAUCU